rnacentral:lncRNA from 1 species
CUCUUCUCGCUCAAUCUAAACUAUCCAAAGGACUUCGCUGAAAUGUUGGAACGGAUGGAGAGGUAUGCCCAAACCGAGGAAGCUUGGGAUCGGCAAAGGGAGAGCCUCGAUGGUGGAUCACAGUAGAAUGAUGGGUAGGAGAAGAAGAAAAAUUAUCGAUGAGUGUAGCAUUGAUGCAUGGAGCCAAGGCCUCGUCAUUCUCAUAUCCCAUCUUGAAACAACCGACC